GAAGAAGCAUCAAGGACCGAGGCUGGAAGACUUCUUGUUUUCUCCUUUCUUUUCUUUGUAUAUCUUGUCCUCUCUUCCUCUCGCUCCCUAUCCCUAUUCCCCCCCCUCUCUCUCUCUUUCUCGUUGUCUGAAUCAGUGUUGCCAUGGAAUACUGGAGCGAUACACCUGUCCGGGCUGUUGCCACACCACUCCACUGCGAUGCAUGCAAGAGUUCUUGUGACAAGACAAUGCAGAACCAUAGGGGGCCAAGUUCGGUAUCCAUUGCCAAUCCAGCCGGUCCAAUUUAGCUUUCUGUUCCCACCAUCUUACCUUGUUAAUGGCAAGAAAGGACUCAGAACCUCAGGCCUGGAACAAAUCACAAAUGUCAUCUCCGCUCAUGCAGAUUGCAAUUGUUUGUGUGCAACCCGCAGCCCUGAGGUCUUGGGAUCUGGCCCUGAAGAGCGUAAGGAGGUCAAGGGGUGUGCUCCAGGGGUGUGUAUCCGUCCCCCUCCAACACCUCUCUGGUCCAGUUCAAUUCCUUACCCCACCAAUGGCCCCAACCGAACAAUACAAUGCCCUCUCCAGGAGGCAAGUCCAUCCCGAAGCUCCUCAUAAUUCGCAUGGAAGGGGCCAUUGUACAGUAGCCCUUUGAGAAUGACCACCAACUGACACAACUUAUCUUUUUCUUAUGGGAAAGAAGUGGGGGUGACUGAAAAAAUGUAUGGACAAAUACAGAGGCACAAAACAGUGCAUGUGUACAGUUAUUUUUUUUUCUCGUAACAACUGCACAACCCCGUUCAAUUAUGGAAAGUGCCAGUAAGGUUGGGCUUCAUAUUAUUCAUAGUCCACUGAAUGCAAAAGUAAUGGAUAACUUGAGGUGUUUAUUAACGAUGACAAUAUGUUGCCUACGGGGUUCUUGUUUAGUUAAUUGUGACAGGUUUUGGCAUGAAUGUGGCUGUAUGGUUCUAACACAUAAAACAUUUCUUACUGUCUAUUUGGUGGACCCCUU
rnacentral:lncRNA from 1 species